CAGCUCUUCAAGUGGUCGGGAUUAUUAUUGGGCUUAAAGUGUCCGUAGCCGGUAUAGUAAGUUCCUGGUUAAAUCGGAUAGCUUAACUAUCUGUUGGCUAGGAAUACUGCUAUACUAGGGGGCGGGAGAGGUCUGAGGUACUCCAGAGGUAGGGGUGAAAUCCUAUAAUCCUUGGGGGACCACCAGUGGCGAAGGCGUCAGACUGGAACGCGCCCGACGGUGAGGGACGAAAGCCAGGGGAGCGAACCGGAUUAGAUACCCGCGUAGUCC
rnacentral:rRNA from 1 species